rnacentral:rRNA from 1 species
GAUGAACGCUGACAGAAUGCUUAACACAUGCAAGUCUACUUGAACUUCGGUUUGGGUGGCGGACGGGUGAGUAACGCGUAAAGAACUUGCCCCACAGAUAGGGACAACAUUUGGAAACGAAUGCUAAUACCUGAUAUUAUGAUUUUAGGGCAUCCUAGAAUUGUGAAAGCUAUAUGCACUGUGAGAGAGCUUUGCGUCCCAUUAGCUAGUUGGAGAGGUAACGGCUCACCAAGGCGAUGAUGGGUAGCCGGCCUGAGAGGGUGAUCGGCCACAAGGGGACUGAGACACGGCCCUUACUCCUACGGGAGGCAGCAGUGGGGAAUAUCGGACAAUGGACCAAGAGUCUGAUCCAGCAAUUCUGUGUGCACGAUGAAGUUUUUCGGAAUGUAAAGUGCUUUCAGUUGGGAAGAAAAAAAUGACGGUACCAACAGAAGAAGUGACGGCUAAAUACGUG